rnacentral:rRNA from 1 species
AGUACAGGUCCCUUACUGGCAAAUGCAUUCUCGACAUCACAUUUCUCCCCAAUCAUUAAACAGUCAUCGACGCCGUCGUCAUGGGCACUCUCCGCCGCGGG